rnacentral:tmRNA from 1 species
GGGAGUGAUAGGCCUCGAUGGCAGGAGAAAGAAUUAAUCGCAAGUCAAGUUUUAGGAACUUGUCAAAACCUUAAAAUGUUUAAUUGCAAAAUUAUACAAGAAAGCUAAAACAGCAAUUGCGCAAGCAUUUGCUCCAAUGAGCUUUCAAACCGCUGUCGCUUAAUAACCGAUAGCCAUCGCUUAAACCGACGCCUAAUAGGUUUAAAGCGGUGUCAAUUAUUAGGCUAAUUUUCGGAAGGGUCUCGUUCCGGAAAGGGUCAUUGGAGACUCGAAAAUUUGUUUUUUUGCCUAACUUAAGACAAAUUUUUUAAACAUUUAGUUAGGCUAAACUUGUAGAAGGUUAUUUCCAAACUUGUCAGACGCCGGUUCAAAUCCGGCCACUUCCACAA